rnacentral:pre_miRNA from 1 species
AGGAGGAACAACCCCAGUGGCGGCGGCCAGCUCUGGAGCCCUGGAUUCAGCCCCCACAGUGACCUCGGAGCUCUCUGUCUGCAGGGCCUGGAGGCUCCAGGGCGGG